rnacentral:rRNA from 1 species
UACGGAGGGUGCAAGCGUUCUCCGGAUUCACUGGGUUUAAAGGGUGCGUAGGUGGAUAUGUAAGUCAGUGGUGAAAUCUCCAAGCUUAACUUGGAAACUGCCGUUGAUACUAUAUAUCUUGAAUGCUGUGGAGGUGAGCGGAAUAUGUCAUGUAGCGGUGAAAUGCUUAGAUAUGACAUAGAACACCAAUUGCGAAGGCAGCUCACUACCCAGAUAUUGACACUGAGGCACGAAAGCGUGGGGAUCAAACAGG